AUGGCUUGUGCCCUGCUCCUCCUGGCACUGAUGACAUGCUGCUCAGGGGUCUGGUCACAGCCUGUGCUGACUCAGGAGCCUGCGGUGUCCUCAGUGUCCCCAGGAGGGACUGUCACUCUGUCCUGCAGCCUGAGCCCUGGAGCCAUCAGCACUGGUUACUACCCUGCCUGGUACCAGCAGAAACCUGGCUCUCCCCCUGAGAUGAUUAUGUACUACACCAGCAGCAGGCCCUCGGGGAUCCCCACCCGGUUCUCGGGGUCCAUAUCUGGUCAGAAGGCCGCCUUGACCAUCACGGGGAUUGAAGUUGAGGAUGAUGCAGAUUAUUACUGUUCAGUGUGGACUGGGAGUGUUUAG